CUGACGAUGCUUACACAUGCAAGUCAACUUGAACUUCGGUUUGGGUGGCGGACGGGUGAGUAACGCGUAAAGAACUUGCCUCACAGCUAGGGACAACAUUUGGAAACGAAAGCUAAUACCUGAUAUUAUGAUUAUAUGGCAUCGUAUGAUUAUGAAAGCUAUAUGCGCUGUGAGAGAGCUUUGCGUCCCAUUAGCUAGUUGGAGAGGUAACGGCUCGCCAAGGCGAUGAUGGGUAGCCGGCCUGAGAGGGUGAUCGGCCACAAGGGGACUGAGACACGGCCCUUACUCCUACGGGAGGCAGCAGUGGGGAAUAUUGGACAAUGGACCAAGAGUCUGAUCCAGCAAUUCUGUGUGCACGAUGAAGUUUUUCGGAAUGUAAAGUGCUUUCAGUUGGGAAGAAAAAAAUGACGGUACCAACAGAAGAAGUGACGGCUAAAUACGUGCCAGCAGCCGCGGUAAU
rnacentral:rRNA from 1 species